rnacentral:snRNA from 1 species
GUGCUCCCAUCAGCAGCACAUAUACUAAAACUGGGACGAAAUAAAGAAGAUUAGCAUGGUCCCUGAGCAAGGAUGACAAGCAAACUGGAACAGCAUUCCAUAUUUUA